rnacentral:rRNA from 1 species
UACAGAGGUCUCAAGCGUUUGUUCGGAUUCAUUGGGCGUAAAGGGUGCGUAGGCGGCGCGGUAAGUCGGGGUGUGAAAUCUCGGAGCUUAACUCCGAAACUGCAUUCGAUACUGCCGUGCUUGAGGACUGGAGAGGAGACUGGAAUUUACGGUGUAGCGGUGAAAUGCGUAGAUAUCGUAAGGAAGACCAGUGGCGAAGGCGGGUCUCUGGACAGUUCCUGACGCUGAGGCACGAAGGUCAGGGGAGCAAACGGG